GAUGAACGCUGGCGGCGUGCCUAAUACAUGCAAGUCGAGCGAACAGACGAGGUGCUUGCUCCUCCGACGUUAGCGGCGGACGGGUGAGUAACACGUGGAUAACCUACCUAUAAGACUGGGAUAACUUCGGGAAACCGGAGCUAAUACCGGAUAAUAUAUUGAACCGCACGGUUCAAUAGUGAAAGACGGUUUUGCUGUCACUUAUAGAUGGACCCGCGCCGCAUUAGCUAGUUGGUAAGGUAACGGCUUACCAAGGCGACGAUGCGUAGCCGACCUGAGAGGGUGCUCGGCCACGCGGCAGCUGAGACGCGCUCCAGACCCCUAAGGGAGGCAGCAGUAGGGAAUCUUCCGCAGGGGGCGAAAGCCUGCCGGAGCAACGCCGCGUGAGUGAUGAAGUUCUUCGGCUCGUAAAACUCUGUGAUUAGAGAAGAACAAAUGUGUAUGUAACGAUGCACGUCUGGACGGUACCUAAUCAGAAGGCCACGGCUACUUCCGG
rnacentral:rRNA from 1 species